GUCACAUCAUGUUGAAACAACAGUUCACAUACAAUCACUGAAGUUAAGCAAUGUUGAGCUUGGUUGGUACCUAAAUGGGUGACCGCUUGGGAAUACCAAGUGCUGUAAG